rnacentral:rRNA from 1 species
CCUACGGGAGGCAGCAGUGAGGAAUAUUGGUCAAUGGGCGCGAGCCUGAACCAGCCAAGUAGCGUGCAGGACGACGGCCCUAUGGGUUGUAAACUGCUUUUAUGCGGGGAUAAAGUGCGGCACGUGUGCCGUUUUGUAGGUACCGCAUGAAUAAGGACCGGCUAAUUCCGUGCCAGCAGCCGCGGUAAU